rnacentral:rRNA from 1 species
UACGGGGGGAGCAAGCGUUGUUCGGAUUUACUGGGCGUAAAGGGCGGGUAGGCGGCCACUGCAAGUCGGUUGUGAAAUCUCCGGGCUUAACCUGGGAACUGCAUUUGUGACUGCAUGGCUGGAGUGCGGCAGAGGGGGAUGGAAUUCCGCGUGUAGCAGUGAAAUGCGUAGAUAUGCGGAGGAACACCGAUGGCGAAGGCAAUCCCCUGGGCCUGCACUGACGCUCAUGCACGAAAGCGUGGGGAGCAAACAGG